rnacentral:rRNA from 1 species
UACGGAGGGUGCGAGCGUUGUCCGGAAUCACUGGGCGUAAAGGGCGUGUAGGCGGGAAGGAAAGUCGGGCGUGAAAUCCCUGGGCUCAACCCAGGAACUGCACUCGAAACUUCUUUUCUUGAGUGCCGGAGAGGAAAGCGGAAUUCCUGGUGUAGAGGUGAAAUUCGUAGAUAUCAGGAGGAACACCAGUGGCGAAGGCGGCUUUCUGGACGGUAACUGACGCUGAGACGCGAAAGCGUGGGGAGCAAACAGG